ACCCAGACAAGCUCCCUUGUCCCGUAUGUCCCGUCGUCCUUUUUAUUGAAAAUUUCGAACAAAAUAAAUUCUUGCCAAAAAAGUAUUUGUCAGGUAUUUAGGGAAAUUAAACUACCUUUGUGUAAAAUUUCAUGUCCAUCCAAACAUAAUUGGGCAUAUUACGAAGUGUUUAAUAAACAACACUCUGUCCGAGAGCAUAAAAUGGGCCAAUUCGGCACUGGGCGACGAUAUUGGUAGUUUACUCUCUACUCUCGCAGGCUUUUAAUGGAGGUGUCCGUCUAUUGGAAGGCCAGCCGUGCGGCUAGGCUAACCAGCGACGGUCUUCUAGUUUUCCCACUAGGAGGAAAAUAAGGUCAUCUGACCUUACAAUUCAUAUAUGUAUGUUUGUGACAAGUGGUGUUUUGUUUUAUUUAUCGGGUAAACGGACAUAGAACAACACUGGCACGCAGUCUAUGCGUAACUUGGCGAUAGUCUGCACAGGACUGGGCGCUACCCUUCACGAACAUAUUAGCAAGGCUCUGGACUUGCUUCCAUUGUUUGCCGUGGAGGUCUUUGGGUUCUAAUUCUCCAGGGGGUUCAGACACUGAGUCCAUCUUCUGUGUCAGUAACAUCACCGGUGUGAGUACUGCAGGCAUCUCAGGAUCAGAAGACACAGGGACCAGUGGUCGCGCGUUCAUAAUACCCAUAACUUCAGCCAUGAGAGUGGUGAGGACCUUGUGUGAGAGAUGAGUAGAGUCCACCUUGAGAAGCAUGGCAUCGCGGAUGCGGCAGGCCACCCCAAUCAUCCUCUCCCACACUCACCCCAUGUGGGGGAUUGAAGGUCCAGGUGCAGCUGUGAUUUUGAAGUCCUGCGAGAAAUAAUUGUCCAUGGCCCGAAGACAUCUAGCCCGACGUGAGUGAAUGGAGGAUCCAAGGAGAGUCUAUCCACAGCCCAGCUGACCGGACUGCACCUUCAGUGAAAUGACGUCCCUGG